UGGUCAGGGAACCGCGGGGCUCCCCUGGCCCCAGCCACGCCAGUUUUCAUGCAACUGAGGCAGCUGGUCCUGGACUCCCAUGCCGCUCACCCGAGCUAGCACCUGGCGGGGUUCAAGGAAGCGGCGAGUUGGCGGGUCCUUCGGGGUAAUCACUUCCGGCUCUGCAGGCGGGGGAUCCCAGUGGGUGGAUGGAUGUAAGGUUUCUUAAAGGAGCAUCACGCUUGUCUUGCAUCCUCUCCCCACCCGUUCUCUCCCGCUAGACUUUGGGAUCCUUGAGGAUAUUCAGCUAUGCACUUUUGAAUAUCCUCUUACCUUAUUCAACAUGAGAUAACAUUCUUAAUGAUUAUCCUCAGCAGGACAGGUGUGAGAGGAUUGCUAUUGUACUACAAUCAUGGUGCAAAAAUACCAGUCACCAGUGAGGGUGUAUAAACACCCCUUUGAAUUAAUUUUGACUCUAAGUAA